rnacentral:tRNA from 1 species
GGAGAGGUGCCGGAGUGGCUGAACGGGCCGGUUUCGAAAACCGGUGUGCGGGUAACCGUACCGGGGGUUCGAAUCCCCCCCUCUCCG